rnacentral:rRNA from 1 species
GAUGAACGCUGGCGGCGUGCUUAACACAUGCAAGUCGAACGAAGAGCGAUGGAAGCUUGCUUCUAUCAAUCUUAGUGGCGAACGGGUGAGUAACGCGUAAUCAACCUGCCCUUCAGAGGGGGACAACAGUUGGAAACGACUGCUAAUACCGCAUACGAUCUAAUCUCGGCAUCGAGGAUAGAUGAAAGGUGGCCUCUACAUGUAAGCUAUCACUGAAGGAGGGGAUUGCGUCUGAUUAGCUAGUUGGAGGGGUAACGGCCCACCAAGGCGAUGAUCAGUAGCCGGUCUGAGAGGAUGAACGGCCACAUUGGGACUGAGACACGGCCCAGACUCCUACGGGAGGCAGCAGUGGGGAAUCUUCCGCAAUGGACGAAAGUCUGACGGAGCAACGCCGCGUGAGUGAUGACGGCCUUCGGGUUGUAAAGCUCUGUUAAUCGGGACGAAAGGCCUUCUUGCGAAUAGUGAGAAGGAUUGACGGUACCGGAAUAGAAAGCCACGGCUAACUACGUG